UACGAAGGGGGCUAGCGUUGUUCGGAUUUACUGGGCGUAAAGCGCACGUAGGCGGAUUGGUCAGUUAGAGGUGAAAUCCCGGAGCUCAACUCCGGAACUGCCUUUAAUACUGCCAGUCUAGAGUCCGGAAGAGGUAAGUGGAACUCCUAGUGUAGAGGUGGAAUUCGUAGAUAUUAGGAAGAACACCAGUGGCGAAGGCGGCUUACUGGUCCGGUACUGACGCUGAGGUGCGAAAGCGUGGGGAGCAAACAGG
rnacentral:rRNA from 1 species